AUGACACCGGGUGUGGACCAGCCUCCAAGACAUAAGCAGAGGAUUAAACACCAGGCGAACUACUAAAAGCCAAAAAAAAAAAAAAAAAAAGCUUUCUUCUUUCAACAGAUGCCAGAAAAGCAUUUGAUAAAGUCCAACAACGUCCAUGACUCUUAAAAACCCAGAGACGAGGGCGAGGCUCAGAUCUCACCGCGACAAAGAACAGCCCCAAUCAGCAGGGCGCAAUCCUGGUUUCACAGCGAAACCCUCUGGCAGUGUCUGCGGGGCCGGUGCUCCCGGGCUCGGCCAGGAAGGGAUUACGGGACCCAGACGGCAUCUGGAAGACACGGCUGUGGGAGGCCCGCCCUUUAAUGCCAGCUGCAGGGCGAUGAUACCUCUCAUCGCCGGCGGAUGAGGGCAGGAGCCGGGCCAGGAUGGAGCGCGGCUCUUGGAAAGGAGGCCGCACACUGACGUCUUCAAGUGGAAUCACGUUCAUCUUGGUUUCCAGAGAGACGCCCUGAGAAGUAAUUAGAAGCAGUAAGACGGGGGUGGUCUCCACACGGCGUGCAGCCUGCGGUUGGAGAUCUGUUGAUUCUGUUCGGGCCCGUGGGCCCCGGCCACGGCACGGUGUUCGUCCCCAAGGAUGGCAAGGCGUUCAGGUCCUGUCAAGCCAAGUGCCGUAAAGAACCUGCCGAGGAGGCGCGGUCCUGGCGAGGUCAGGCGGAGCAGCCCAGCCGGUGAAGCCCUCACCGUGCAGAUCUCAUUUAAAUGUGUCGAGCUGAAUGGACGGCGGAAGGUUGGAGAAAGAUCAAGAACGACAGAAAGUUCAGGGCGUCGGAGUCCGGCGAACACACCUCCUCCGGCCCCCUCUGCGAGGGAAGCCGCCGGAAGACACAGUCAUCCGGAAGCUGCAAGAGGAUGUGGACGUGGAAGUUGUUCUGACGAUCGUAACUGUUUAACCGUUUCUGCGAGCCCGUUGGAAAGUCUCCGUUAGAGAUUAGAGCGCCUGUGGGUUGGUUUAUUUUUUCACCUGAGAUGAUUCAAAUGAAAAGAAACAUCUUUUUAAAAAUGCAUCUCUCUACAUUACUAUCUGCAAAAGUCAGACAAUAUGGAUGGAGGAUUGCAUCUCAGUGUUAAACCUUUGCUGACAGACAUGCUGUGUAAAUCAGGAAAAUGCUGCAGAUACAGAGUGAACUGUGGACACAGAAUGACCAUGCCGCCGGGGUAACGGCACCGGCAGCGUUUAUGUGAUAACACACCUGGCACCGAGGGCCCAGGGUCGACGGGAAGCACAUGCUCCUUCACACCCUUGCCUGCACGCUGCUCCCUGCAGACAGCGCCGUUGCUGGUGUCUGUGUGUGUCUGUUCUUGCUCUGCACAGAUGAGUAUGUAUUUUUGCAAAGAAAACCUGCUAAUAGCUGCCA